GAGUUUGAUCUUGGCUCAGAUUGAACGCUGGCGGCAUGCCUUACACAUGCAAGUCGAACGGCAGCACGGGAGCUUGCUCCUGGUGGCGAGUGGCGAACGGGUGAGUAAUGCAUCGGAACGUAUCCUGGAGUGGGGGAUAACGUAGCGAAAGUUACGCUAAUACCGCAUAUUCUGUGAGCAGGAAAGCGGGGGACCUUCGGGCCUCGCGCUCUUGGAGCGGCCGAUGUCGGAUUAGCUAGUUGGUGAGGUAAGGGCUCACCAAGGCGACGAUCCGUAGCAGGUCUGAGAGGAUGAUCUGCCACACUGGAACUGAGACACGGUCCAGACUCCUACGGGAGGCAGCAGUGGGGAAUUUUGGACAAUGGGGGCAACCCUGAUCCAGCCAUGCCGCGUGAGUGAAGAGGCCUGGUUGUAAGACGUCUUCGUCG
rnacentral:rRNA from 1 species